rnacentral:rRNA from 1 species
GGGUUGUGAGGUUAAGCGACUAAGCGUACACGGUGGAUGCCCUGGCAGUCAGAGGCGAUGAAGGGCGUGCUAAUCUGCGAUAAGCGCCGGUAAGGUGAUAUGAACCGUUAUAACCGGCGAUACCCGAAUGGGGAAACCCAGUGUGAUUCGUCACACUAUCAUUAACUGAAUCCAUAGGUUAAUGAGGCGAACCGGGGGAACUGAAACAUCUAAGUACCCCGAGGAAAAGAAAUCAACCGAGAUUCCCCCAGUAGCGGCGAGCGAACGGGGAGGAGCCCAGAGCCUGAAUCAGCAUGUGUGUUAGUGGAAGCGUCUGGAAAGGCGCGCGAUACAGGGUGACAGCCCCGUACACAAAAGCGCAUGUGCUGUGAGCUCGAUGAGUAGGGCGGGACACGUGGUAUCCUGUCUGAAUAUGGGGGGACCAUCCUCCAAGGCUAAAUACUCCUGACUGACCGAUAGUGAACCAGUACCGUGAGGGAAAGGCGAAAAGAACCCCGGCGAGGGGAGUGAAAAAGAACCUGAAACCGUGUACGUACAAGCAGUGGGAGCACAGGUUUACCUGUGUGACUGCGUACCUUUUGUAUAAUGGGUCAGCGACUUAUAUUCUGUAGCAAGGUUAACCGUAU